AUAUAAUAUAUAUAUAUAUUUGAUAUAUUUAUACAAUUAUUAAUUUAUAAUAUAAAUGGGACCAUAUAUUUACAUAGAAUUUUCAAAAAAAUUAUUAUCUUAUUAAUUUAUCGAUUUGUGUAACUUUUUACACUGGUCCCAACUUGGGACCGGAAGAAUUUAUUAAUUUACAGAGGUUAUUAAUUUAUAGAGUAUUAAUUUAUGAGGUUCUACUGUAAACUACUGUGACAUUUUUCAUAACUUAACUUGGAAAAAA
rnacentral:sRNA from 1 species